GACGAACGCUGGCGGCGUGCUUAACACAUGCAAGUCGUACGGUAAGGCCCUUUCUGGGGUACACGCGUGGCGAACGGGUGCGUAACACGUGCGUAACCUGCCCACCACUUUGGGAUAACGCUAGGAAACUGGUGCUAAUACUGGAUAUGUACUCCUUCUGCAUGGUGGGGGUUGGAAAGCUCCGGCGGGUGUGGAUGGACUCGCGGCCUAUCAGCUUGGUGGUGGGGUAGUGGGCUACCAAGGCGGCGGCGGGUGGCCGGCCUGGGAGGGUGACCGGCCACAAUGGGGCUUGGAUACGGCCCCGGCUCCCACCGGGAGCAGCAGGGGGGAAUUAUUCACAAAGGGCGCGAGCCUGAUGCAGCAACGCCGCGGGCGGGAUGACGGCCUUCGGGUUGUAAACCGCUUUCAGCAGGGACGAAGCUGUGUGUGACGGUACCUGCAGAAGAAGCACCGGCUAACUACGUG
rnacentral:rRNA from 1 species